rnacentral:sRNA from 1 species
UGUAUGCUCUUACACAAUCCCGUUAUA